UAUUUUAGGCAUAUUUAAGCAUAGCACAAUUUUUGUCCUAGUGUGCUAGAGUUCUUGAAGACAAUCUGCUGGUCUUGAUUCACUGGUAGGGAUCUUCAGUGUCCCUGAGCCCAGAUCAGAAACAUGU